UACGAAGGGUGCGAGCGUUGUUCGGAAUUACUGGGCGUAAAGGGUUCGUCGGCGGGCACUUAAGUCAAGUGUGAAAUCCCUAGGCUCAACCUAGGACGUGCACCUGAAACUGAGUUUCUUGAAUCUUGGAGAGGGUGAUGGAAUUGCUGGUGUAGGAGUGACAUCCGUAGAGAUCAGCAGGAACACCGGAGGCGAAGGCGAUCACCUGGCCAAAGAUUGACGCUGAGGAGCGAAAGCCAGGGGAGCAAACGGG
rnacentral:rRNA from 1 species